rnacentral:rRNA from 1 species
GACGAACGCUGGCGGCGUGCUUAACACAUGCAAGUCGAACGAUGAAGCUGGAGCUUGCUCCGGUGGAUUAGUGGCGAACGGGUGAGUAACACGUGAGCAAUCUGCCCUUGACUCUGGGGUAACUGCGGGAAACUGUAGCUAAUACCGGAUACUUUCACUGGAAGGCAUCUUCUGGUGAAGAAAGAAUUUCGGUCAAGGAUGAGCUCGCGGCCUAUCAGCUAGUUGGUGAGGUAACGGCUCACCAAGGCGACGACGGGUAGCCGGCCUGAGAGGGUGACCGGCCACACUGGGACUGAGACACGGCCCGGACUCCUACGGGAGGCAGCAGUGGGGAAUAUUGCACAAUGGGCGCAAGCCUGAUGCAGCAACGCCGCGUGAGGGAUGACGGCCUUCGGGUUGUAAACCUCUUUUAGUAGGGAAGAAGCGAAAGUGACGGUACCUGCAGAAAAAGCACCGGCUAACUACGUGCCAGCAGCCGCCGUAA